rnacentral:lncRNA from 1 species
GCAUUAAUUUAUUAUCUGUUUAAGGUUGGUAUCGUUAGAGAAACAACAUUUGGAACAACUGAAUAUUAUAUAUUAAGCAUACUAAAGGGUCGUAACAAUUGUCAUUUGUUUUACACUAAAUAUUUGAAGUUCACAAUCACUAAGCUCUAGCUCCAGAAUUUUUUGUCUUAUUUCUUACACAUUGCUUAAUGAACCAUAGUUUUAAUGAUCAUUUCUACGUUUCAAUGCAUUUUUGAAAUAGAAAUAUCCAUGUUUGUACUUCUGCACCCUUUCAAUUUUUUUUUACUUCAUCUUUUGGUUUCAGGUAUAUGAUCAAAAGUCUCAAAAGGCAUGUCGAAUAACUAAUUGUAAAAAAAGUUUGUGGUUAAUGACAGGUAUUUUGUCAUUCAAAAUAGCUCUUAGUCUAAUAGGUAUAGGUAUGUGUGUUAUUUAUUUCAUUCUCUUAAUAUUUGAAAGCAAGUUGUAGGCGCUAGUGAUUAUCAAUUUGGAGUUUUACCGUGAAAGUGUACUAGUGUUAAUGUUUCACUAGUGAUUUUGUGCCCGGAUCAGUUUUGU